rnacentral:rRNA from 1 species
GUGUCAGCAGCCGCGGUAAUACAGAGGUCCCAAGCGUUGUUCGGAUUCACUGGGCGUAAAGGGUGCGUAGGCGGUCGGGUAAGUCUGAUGUGAAAUCUCUGGGCUCAACCCAGAAAUGGCAUUGGAUACUAUUCGGCUUGAGGUCUGGAGGGGGGACUGGAAUUCUCGGUGUAGCAGUGAAAUGCGUAGAUAUCGAGAGGAACACCAGUGGCGAAGGCGAGUCCCUGGACAGAUCCUGACGCUGAGGCACGAAAGCUAGGGGAGCAAACAGGAUUAGAAACCCUCGUAGUCC